UACAUAGGGGGCAAGCGUUGUUCGGAAUUACUGGGCGUAAAGGGCGCGUAGGCGGCCUGCUAAGUCGAACGUGAAAUCCCAGAGCUCAACUCGGGAACUGCGUCCGAUACUGGCAGGCUUGAAUCCGGGAGAGGGAUGCGGAAUUCCAGGUGUAGCGGUGAAAUGCGUAGAUAUCUGGAGGAACACCGGUGGCGAAGGCGGCGUCCUGGACCAAUACUGACACUGAACAGCGAAAGCCAGGGGAGCAAACGGG
rnacentral:rRNA from 1 species